UUUCUCACUGCUGCUGCUACUGCUGCUCUUACCAUUGCCGCCACUCGCACGUUUCAGUGCAUGUGUAGCCACCCUUUUCUUUGCUUUUCGAAUUUGGCCCCCCCCCCCCCCCCCCCACGCCCGCUUCCGCUCCGCAACUGCGUCGGCCAGGCGGGACCAAAACGGUGACGAGUCAGAUUGACGCGCGAGAGGAGAGCGAGGGCGGUCCAGCUUGGCGGCGCUAUACGGCGCACACCCCGUACACGCGCCACACCGACAUCUGCCCCUUGCUUUGCCGCCGACCUAUACAUACUCCCAUUCAUUUCCUAUACACACAUACGUGCGCCGACACCCACAUAAGGAAACAACCGCUCGCGCACGACGCAUAGGUCAUCGUGCACAUCACUAUCUUUUCACUACCGCUGCUGCCCUCGACCCCUUACCCUCCCGGCUGACAAGAGCACAGGGGUGGCGAAGCAGCGCCGAGAGAGGGAGGAGGCGGCCCAACGAGGCUGACGCUGUGGAGGGCGCCCUUUCACUGCAGCCUAGAGGACACUUCUCCCCGACUCACACGAGCACAACCCACAUUUCGCUCUACAAGGGAACAUGCAGCGAGCGGGCGCGAGGGCAGCGAUCAUAUCAGCGGCACCGUAAUCUCCUUCCUCCCUCGCUGACGGACCGAAAACCCCCUCCCUCGUCGUUCCCAUUCCACCUCGCCAUCCACCCCGGCGGCGUCUUCGCCCUCGCCCUCUUGGCCGCAUCACCACCAUCACGGGCACUGACAACAGCCGAGGCCAGGCAAAAGCGGGGGCUUAUUUUCUCCCGUGCUCCGGGACGGCAGGAGCGCUUUGGCGCGGACUUCAUGUUGCCCGCAGCGGUGCUUCUCAAGGAGCAGUCCCCACACAGCUCCACGACGAACGGUUCCUCGCGGCACGCGCACAACAAGUCCUCGGCGGCGACCGCUCUGGCUACCGGCGCUACUAAUGCCGUUUCAAGCGGGGUAACGAGAACUUCACCGCCAUUGCUGGUGAGCAGCUCCGGCACUGGCGGUGUCAGUGGUGGCUCUUCGCCGCACACUGGCUGCGUGCGUUGGUGCAUGAAUGUCGCCUUGCAGUCCUUCACCGGCGAGCCCUGGGCGGUGAUGCUGCAGCCGGCCGCCGAGGACGACUUUGUGCUCAACGGGUCAUUUCACGGCAGCCCCGCCGACUCCUCCAUCACCCCACCUUCCUUGACCCUCCUCCACCCAGCCUGCACCACGACGAGCGCGGCCGCCAACAGCAUCUGCCAGCAGUCUCUGCAGGGGAAGGGACCCUCUAACGGAACGCCGCAUGGGAGCGGCAGCAGUGGUAAUUCUCCGGUGCACAGUCCCAUGGGCACGCGCAUGAGCUCCUCCAUGCUGCGCAGUGGAUUACAGCUGGUGGCGAUCGACUAUAGCAAUCCUCAGCCGCAGUACCCCGGCGGCCCGGUGCUGGACGCUGCCGCCUUCAGCUACGAUCCAUUGAGCGAAGAGAGCGCCGCGCUGCAUCAGUGCGUCUCGGCUGUGAACAGCCCGCCAGUGACGUACGGCGUUGACGAUCUGCUGGGCCGCAUUACCAAUGUGGAGUUCAUUGCCGCGGGGGGCAGUCCGGAGGAGGCUGCGGCCGGAGCGCCGAUGCACUACAGACUGGCAUCCUCCCUGGAGCCGAUGUUGAAUGCCACGCUGAACCCAGCCAUCACCGCCGUUGUAGACCACUGCCUCAGCUCGAUUGUGCUUGUGUACGGCGCAACGCAGGAGAUGAAGCAAAUGGGCCUGAUUGGCACCCCGGAGGAGUGCGGGUUGCUGCCGCAUGGCAUUCGCACCCUAAUGGAGCGCUUGCUCGACCGCAAGGAGCACCAGCUAUCAAAGGCGGCGAGUUUAAACUGCACCGCAAAGCCGACCGGUGACCGGGCUGCGGCAGCGUCAGACAGCGUUGGCUCCGACGCCUCGCCGUCAGCCCCACCCCGUGCGGCGGGAAGCGUGUCGCCACCGUUCGGCGGCGGAGACGACGCUGUCUCGGACAGCGACCACACCGAAGCCGUGCACAGUCGCUCGGCCACUUCGCACACGCACAGUUUCGUUUUCCCGUCUAUCGGUUCCCGGCACCACCGGUUUGUGCGUAUGGAGGCGACUUUCAUCGCCUUCGACUCGACCAGCGUGGUGGACUUGCUGGAUCUAUCUAACAAGCACGCGGAGCUCGUGCUGAAGCUUGCGCCUCCGCCGACACCGUCUGCGUUCGAGGAGAUGACAUGUGAUGUGAGCGCGGCAGCCAGUACGUCUCCCACGACGGACUCGUUCGUGCUCAACGCGCAAGCGAUGCCGGUUGAGAACGCGAACGACGCCCUCUCUGCGCUCGACAUCGGCCUGGACAACCUCACACGGGCGUUGGAACUGCCCCUCUUGCAGUCAGAGUCGGGCUCGUCCUUGCUCUUUUCGCUCACGGCCUUUACCGACACGUGUCGGUGCGCGACGAUGCACAUGCUGUGCCUUGCCGAAGACCCGGCUGCGCAGGCCUGGCUGGUGUCGACUGUGCAGGCCCGCAGUCAGGCGAUUCCGCUCGGUGAGGAGCAGAGCUGGGCGUCCAUCCAGAAUACGCCGAUGCCGCCGCCACUGCACCACCACGCCGCCACGAUGCUUGUGCCGGCGCUCUGCUUCGGCAAUAUGUUCACCUCCGUUCUCAUAUGUGUGUACAACUCCAUCACAGCGCUUAGCCGGCUAAACCGUGACUUGACGUUAGCGGUGACAGGAUAUCGCAUGCGCACCAUCCCGCGCGUGACGCUGGCGAGCUCAAGGCGCGGGCUGAAGAAGCUGCCGCCGAGCUGGGAGGAGCACUUCACAAACGACGGCCGACGCUACUUUAUCGACACCUCCACGCAGACAACCACUUGGAAGGACCCGCGCUUUACCUAUCCGCAUUGCUCAUCUCGCUCCGGCGGCUUGACAGGCAACAACCCAAGUGGAAGCGGCACUGGCGCCGACAGCGGCAGGUCGAGUCGCAGCGGCAGCCCUCACCACCGACCCAGUCGCAUCAGCCUCGGCCCAGGCGACAAAGAUUUCUUGAUGAGCCGCCUUCAGCAGGAGAUGCACGGCGGCAGCCCUAGUGCCACGGGCAGCACCGGCACCACUCAGCAGCCCGCAGCGUGUGCGGGGAGGCUGCCCGCGCUAGGUGCCCCCGCUUCAGGCGCGGAUUCCCUUGACAUCGGCAUCAUCGUCGUGGACACGAUGUGUCGUCCACGCGUGCUGAUCCACUCACGGAAUCCGCAGUUUGCCUUGCAGUAUGACGAGCAGGAGGAGGUGCUGCGUGCGAAGCGACGAGAGUUGGAGGAGGCGAGGGUGGAGCUGCAGCGGAAGGCGAAGGCGGCAGCUGUGCUAGGCGAGGCCGCGGGGGAGGCACAGGACGCCGGGCCGGCAAGCGUGCCGGAUACGGCCAAGCCGCGGGAAGCCGUGCAACCCAUUGUUGAUCGGGCUGCGCCAACCCAGGCCGUGGACUUGGCCCACUCUUCUCCAACGCCAGCGAAGGGGGUGGUUGGGCUGGACGACGUUGACGACGAGGAGAUAUCAGCGUUAUGCCACAGAAACUCGGUCAAAAUCGAAGACUUCAUGUUCGAGGACGAUAGCGACGAGGGUGGCGAAGAUGACGAGGCGAGCGGCACCGAGCAGAUUUCAACACCCGAGUCCGCCUUCAAGGCGGGUGGAGUCGCGAUAUCACAAAGCUGCACAGCCUCCAGCGCCGAGGCGCGCUUCUACGCCAACGUGCUGCAGGAGCAGGCUGCCGGCGUCGGCGAGGUGAGUGCUUCGAGCACCGUGUCAUCCACGGAUACCUCCGUGGCCGUAUCACCGGUGAUCAAGAGUGCUGCCGCGCCGGGAAGCAGCAGCAACAUCGCAGCUGCUGCAUCUGAUGAGCAAAGUUCUAGCGUCAUCAGCGAUGCCCCGCACGGUGGCACCACGAUGGCAGCGACCCCGCCCGAGGUGCAGGACCUGGAGUCGCUGGUUGACGAGUUUACCGCCUUCUACAGAAGAGCGUUUGAGCUGCAACAGCGCGUUGCGGAGCUUGAGGCGGAGCUGAAGAGGCCGAAGUCGACUGCUCGUUCGUCGUCGCCGUUGUCGUUGCCAGUGGCAGCAGAAGCCUCGGACGCCGGUGUGCAUGAGUUGGUGCAGCAGAUGCUCAAGGCGGUGGAGCUGUCGCCAUCAGCUGAGGUGCGCGCUGCACUUACGCCGAUGCUGACAAACUCCGCGUCCACCGCGCCGGCAACGGCCACAGCUUCGGUGGUGCUGCAGGCAUUUCACGAAGCUCUGCGAAUUGCAGCGCAGACCAACCGUGCGGGAGGAAGAGCGAACGCUGCUCCAAAACAAUAAAAAAAAGGUGGACCCAAUCAGAGAAGCAGGCCGAGGAGCGUGUAUGCGCACUUUUAUGUGUGCGCAAACAUAUAUAUGUGUAUGUGUGUAUAUGCGUGUAAGGGUGCCGUGCUGUGUGUUGGCGUUUGAAGAAAAAGGAACGUGCGUGUGUGCUCGUGUGUGGCGAACCCCUCACCCACAUCGCUGUCUCUCCAGUCUGCAUCUCUUGCAUUUCCAUGAUAUAUAUAUAUAUAUGUAUUACCAUGUUUGCAUUGUUUUUUCGUCUGAUGAGUGGGCGGCGAUUUUACGCUGUCUUUGCGGGACGCUUGAUCGAUGGUGUUAUGCGUUUGUGUGCUUGUAUACAUAUAUAUGUGUGUGUGUGUGACGUGCGGUGCCGUCAUUCCCCUUCGGAUUUGUGUGCUGGCCUGCUUUGUUGCCAUUCUGUUUGUUGUGUGCUCUCAAUCAGUUCGUAGCUUGCACUUCAUGUAUCUUACUCUCUGGAUCCUAACCCAUAUGUUUGGCGUACCGGUUCGUGCGGGGUGGUGGCGGUGGGGGGGCGGGGAUCAGUUGACGGGUGUAUCGCUGUGCGAGCGUGUGUGCGUGUGUGACCAGAGAUGUAACCAUCGAUGCCUACGAACAGUUGAAUGAGGAGAAAUACAGGGCGCAUGAUCGAGGUGGAGAGAAGUCGCGCGGGUGCUGGCCGAGGUUCUGCCCGGCCACCG
rnacentral:misc_RNA from 1 species